CAGUAGCCACGGGAAUACGAAGGGUGCAAGCGUUACUCGGAAUUACUGGGCGUAAAGCGUGCGUAGGUGGUGGUUUAAGUCCGUUGUGAAAGCCCUGGGCUCAACCUGGGAAUUGCAGUGGAUACUGGGUCACUAGAGUGUGGUAGAGGAUAGUGGAAUUUCCGGUGUAGCAGUGAAAUGCGUAGAGAUCGGAAGGAACAUCUGUGGCGAAGGCGACUAUCUGGGCCAACACUGACACUGAGGCACGAAAGCAUGGGGAGCAAACAGGAUUAGAUACCCGAGUAGUCCCUGUCUCUUAUAA
rnacentral:rRNA from 1 species